rnacentral:lncRNA from 1 species
ACCAAGAAUGGAUACAUCACCAGGAGUGAGCCCUAAUAUAAUCUAUGGGUGCUGAGUGAUAAUGUAUGAAUGUAGGUUCAUUGAUAUUGUAACAAAUGUACCACUCCGGAGGGAGAUGCUGAUAAUGGGGGAGACUGUGCAUGUUUUGGGGCAGGCAGUAUAUGGUACAUCUCUGUAUCUUCCAUCAGUUUUGCUGUGAACCUAAAACUGCUCUAAAAAUAAAGUCUAUUAAAAAAACUCAUCAUUUAGCAUUAGGUAUAUCUCCUAAAGCUAUCCCUCCC